rnacentral:rRNA from 1 species
GAUGAGCCCGCGUCGGAUUAGCUAGUUGGUGAGGUAAAGGCUCACCAAGGCGACGAUCCGUAGCUGGUCUGAGAGGAUGAUCAGCCACACUGGGACUGAGACACGGCCCAGACUCCUACGGGAGGCAGCAGUGGGGAAUUUUGGACAAUGGGCGCAAGCCUGAUCCAGCCAUUCCGCGUGCAGGAUGAAGGCCCUCGGGUUGUAAACUGCUUUUGUACGGAACGAAAAGGUUCUGGUUAAUACCCGGAGCUGAUGACGGUACCGUAAGAAUAAGCACCGGCUAACUACGUGCCAGCAGCCGCGGUAAUACGUAGGUGGCAAGCGUUGUCCGGAAUUAUUGGGCGUAAAGCGCGUGUAGGCGGCCAGAUAAGUCCGCUGUGAAAACUCGAGGCUCAACUUCGAGCUGUCGGUGGAAACUAUCUGGCUAGAGUCCGGAAGAGGAGAGUGGAAUUCCUGGUGUAGCGGUGAAAUGCGCAGAUAUCAGGAAGAACACCCGUGGCGAAGGCGGCUCUCUGGGACGGUACUGACGCUGAGACGCGAAAGCGUGGGGAGCGAACAGGAUUAGAUACCCUGGUAGUCCACGCCGUAAACGAUGGGUGCUAGGUGU